rnacentral:rRNA from 1 species
AAAUAAGUUGGGUGAGAAUGACUCUGCGUCUACUAAUGGAGACUCACAAGGCUUUCUAAAGAGGAACCUGUCCCAUUGGUUUUCCAAAAAUUGCAAAGAAGAAAUAGGCACAAUAAACACGGGUUCUGUGGAUGGCCCCUUAAGAUUGUUCCUUGGGGCCGGCACCGGCGCGGCUAACAUUGGAUGCAAUUUCAAACCGAAGUUUUUGUUUUCCUUUGGCCCGAAGAAGGCCCUGGAGAAUUCUUUGUUUAAACGUUGCAUUCGUUGAUAGGGGAUAAGAAUUUAUUUGCCAAAUUAUUUAAUCUUGAAACGAAAGAAAAUUCCUAGUAAAACGGCAAGAUCAUCAAUUCUGCAUUGAUUACGUACUGCCGUUGUACACACCGCCCGUCGCACUACCGAUUGAAUGGUCCGGUGAAGCCUCGGGAUUGUGACUGAUCUGCUUUAUUGUGGUCGGUGCGAGAACUGUCUAAACUUAUCAUAGAGGAACGUAAGUCAAAUGA